rnacentral:rRNA from 1 species
UGAACGGCUAAAUGAGGACAAACCUGUCUCUUAUAACCAAUCAGUGAAACUGAUCUCCCAAUACAAAAGUUGGGAUGCACACAUAAGACGAGAAGACCCCGUGGAGCUUAAAACAAACUGCCAAUCUAAACGACCCUGGUAUGCUGUUUUGAGUUGGGGCGACUUCGGAACAAAACAAAACUUCCGAGCACAGAACCACCACUUCUAACUAAGGCCAACAAGCCUAAGUUUAACCUGACCCGGCCUCGCGCCGAUCAACGAACCAAGUUACCCCGGGGAUAACAGCGCUAUCUUCUUCAAGAGUCCCUAUCAACAAGAAGGUUUACGACCUCGAUGUUGGAUCAGGACAUCCUAAUGGUGCAGCCGCUAUUAACGGUUCGUUUGUUCAACGAUUAACAGUCCU